UUCUAUGGCCAUACACCCUGAACACAUCCAAUCUCAUCUGAACUCGGAAGCUAAGCAGGGUCGGGCCUGGUUAGUACUUGGAUGGGAAACCACCUAGGAAGACGGGGUGUUGUAGGCG
rnacentral:rRNA from 1 species